rnacentral:tRNA from 1 species
GCAGUUGUGGCGGAAUUGGCAUACGCGCUAGACUAAGGAUCUAGUGUCCCAUAUACGGACUUGAGGGUUCGAGUCCCUCCAACUGCA